rnacentral:tRNA from 1 species
GGUGGCAUAGUGGUAGAGUGCUUGCCUUGUAUGCAUGAGGCCCUGAGUUCAAUUCCUCAGCACCA